CAAGAAAGAACAAUCCGAUCCCACUUGGAGAAGGACAGAGACACUGAAUCAGAUGGGGCCGGGGAGCCUGGGGAGGAAAUUAAAUUCCUGCUAAAGCCAUAAAGAUACUGCAGAACCAGCCCAGCAACACUACGGACUUCUCAGGAGAGCUAGCCAAGAGAUUGGCCUCAUCACAGUUUGUCUGGAGGCAGUUGAAUAAGGAGCAUGGAGGGAAGCGGUGUGGCAGCUGUUGGUGAUGUUAAUAUAGUACUAUCUGCCCUGGGCAUACUGUUCAUCCUGAAAGUGAUCAGAGUGUGAACCACAUCAGACAGUGACCAUUCUGCUCCUUAUACAAUUCCUGGGAAGUCAGUCCACAGUCUCCUUUAAUGAUUCAUCCACCCCAGGACUCAACAACCCAGAUUGUUGAAAUUUCUUAUUGUAUAUAUCUUGAAGCUUGAAAACAUUCCAUGUUUUUUUCUUUUUUUUCCAUUUUAUGUGGAAUUUGAAACCUCUUUAGUCUAAUAAUUCCUAAUACACUUUAAUGUGAUUAUUAAAUGAUAUUAAACAUAAUUUUUUAAAGGUAAGCCAUCUUAAGCAUUUAGCAUUUCUCGUGUCUUCCUUUCCACUCUCUCUUUUGUAUAUUUCGGCAUAUGAAUA
rnacentral:lncRNA from 1 species